rnacentral:rRNA from 1 species
CUGCGAUAAGCGCCGGUAAGGUGAUAUGAACCGUUAUAACCGGCGAUACCCGAAUGGGGAAACCCAGUGUGAUUCGUCACACUAUCAUUAACUGAAUCCAUAGGUUAAUGAGGCGAACCGGGGGAACUGAAACAUCUAAGUACCCCGAGGAAAAGAAAUCAACCGAGAUUCCCCCAGUAGCGGCGAGCGAACGGGGAGGAGCCCAGAGCCUGAAUCAGCAUGUGUGUUAGUGGAAGCGUCUGGAAAGGCGCGCGAUACAGGGUGACAGCCCCGUACACAAAAGCGCAUGUGCUGUGAGCUCGAUGAGUAGGGCGGGACACGUGGUAUCCUGUCUGAAUAUGGGGGGACCAUCCUCCAAGGCUAAAUACUCCUGACUGACCGAUAGUGAACCAGUACCGUGAGGGAAAGGCGAAAAGAACCCCGGCGAGGGGAGUGAAAAAGAACCUGAAACCGUGUACGUACAAGCAGUGGGAGCACCCUUCGGGGUGUGACUGCGUACCUUUUGUAUAAUGGGUCAGCGACUUAUAUUCUGUAGCAAGGUUAACCGUAUAGGGGAGCCGGAGGGAAACCGAGUCUUAAUUGGGCGUUAAGUUGCAGGGUAUAGACCCGAAACCCGGUGAUCUAGCCAUGGGCAGGUUGAAGGUUGGGUAACACUAACUGGAGGACCGAACCGACUAAUGUUGAAAAAUUAGCGGAUGACCUGUGGCUGGGGGUGAAAGGCCAAUCAAACCGGGAGAUAGCUGGUUCUCCCCGAAAGCUAUUUAGGUAGCGCCUCGUGAAUUCAUCUCCGGGGGUAGAGCACUGUUUCGGCUAGGGGGCCAUCCCGGCUUACCAACCCGAUGCAAACUGCGAAUACCGGAGAAUGUUAUCACGGGAGACACACGGCGGGUGCUAACGUCCGUCGUGAAGAGGGAAACAACCCAGACCGCCAGCUAAGGUCCCAAAGUCAUGGUUAAGUGGGAAACGAUGUGGGAAGGCCCAGACAGCCAGGAUGUUGGCUUAGAAGCAGCCAUCAUUUAAAGAAAGCGUAAUAGCUCACUGGUCGAGUCGGCCUGCGCGGAAGAUGUAACGGGGCUAAACCAUGCACCGAAGCUGCGGCAGCGAACGUAUCACCCAAGACAACUUUACGGAGUUGACGAUUGACGGAGCGAAGCGACGUCAAAGCGUUCAUUAAAGUCGAGUUGGCUUAGGGAUACGUUCGUUGGGUAGGGGAGCGUUCUGUAAGCCUGUGAAGGUGUGUCGUGAGGCAUGCUGGAGGUAUCAGAAGUGCGAAUGCUGACAUAAGUAACGAUAAAGCGGGUGAAAAGCCCGCUCGCCGGAAGACCAAGGGUUCCUGUCCAACGUUAAUCGGGGCAGGGUGAGUCGACCCCUAAGGCGAGGCCGAAAGGCGUAGUCGAUGGGAAACGGGUUAAUAUUCCCGUACUUGGUGUUACUGCGAAGGGGGGACGGAGAAGGCUAUGUUGGCCGGGCGACGGUUGUCCCGGUUUAAGCGUGUAGGUGUGUGUUCCAGGUAAAUCCGGUUCACUUUAACACUGAGGCGUGACGACGAGGCACUACGGUGCUGAAGCAACAAAUGCCCUGCUUCCAGGAAAAGCCUCUAAGCAUCAGGUAACAUCAAAUCGUACCCCAAACCGACACAGGUGGUCAGGUAGAGAAUACCAAGGCGCUUGAGAGAACUCGGGUGAAGGAACUAGGCAAAAUGGUGCCGUAACUUCGGGAGAAGGCACGCUGACACGUAGGUGAAGUGAUUUACUCAUGGAGCUGAAGUCAGUCGAAGAUACCAGCUGGCUGCAACUGUUUAUUAAAAACACAGCACUGUGCAAACACGAAAGUGGACGUAUACGGUGUGACGCCUGCCCGGUGCCGGAAGGUUAAUUGAUGGGGUCAGCGCAAGCGAAGCUCCUGAUCGAAGCCCCGGUAAACGGCGGCCGUAACUAUAACGGUCCUAAGGUAGCGAAAUUCCUUGUCGGGUAAGUUCCGACCUGCACGAAUGGCGUAAUGAUGGCCAGGCUGUCUCCACCCGAGACUCAGUGAAAUUGAACUCGCUGUGAAGAUGCAGUGUACCCGCGGCAAGACGGAAAGACCCCGUGAACCUUUACUAUAGCUUGACACUGAACAUUGAGCCUUGAUGUGUAGGAUAGGUGGGAGGCUUUGAAGUGUGGACGCCAGUCUGCAUGGAGCCGACCUUGAAAUACCACCCUUUAAUGUUUGAUGUUCUAACGUGGACCCGUAAUCCGGGUUGCGGACAGUGUCUGGUGGGUAGUUUGACUGGGGCGGUCUCCUCCUAAAGAGUAACGGAGGAGCACGAAGGUUGGCUAAUCCUGGUCGGACAUCAGGAGGUUAGUGCAAUGGCAUAAGCCAGCUUGACUGCGAGCGUGACGGCGCGAGCAGGUGCGAAAGCAGGUCAUAGUGAUCCGGUGGUUCUGAAUGGAAGGGCCAUCGCUCAACGGAUAAAAGGUACUCCGGGGAUAACAGGCUGAUACCGCCCAAGAGUUCAUAUCGACGGCGGUGUUUGGCACCUCGAUGUCGGCUCAUCACAUCCUGGGGCUGAAGUAGGUCCCAAGGGUAUGGCUGUUCGCCAUUUAAAGUGGUACGCGAGCUGGGUUUAGAACGUCGUGAGACAGUUCGGUCCCUA